ACACUUGCGCCCUGAGGAGUAGUUAAAAUUCAGCUUGAGGGGCACUUAGUGUCACAGAAGCCUAGAUAAAGAAACAAGAUUUCAGGCAGGAAGAAAUAAUAAAGAGGCAGGACUUCAAGUGUCCUGUGAAACACAACAUUCGGCCUCCGGCACACACAUCCGUGGGAGACGGCUCAACUUCUUUAUAAAGUGAGGAACCAAAUUGUGAAGACAUCUGUUCUGUUAUUAAUUUCACAUACAUCUUAAGCUCCUCAAGGCCAGAAAUGAGGCUUCAUUCACGUCGAAUUAAUGAAACAUGAUUCAGCUACAUUUUCACCCCAUCCCGGGCUCCAUGUUCCUGCUGCACACACAUCAAGAAUGCUGCUAAUUUCAGCGUCUGCCUUCCAGACCCAGACGUCAAAACAACUACCUUUCAUCUCAGCAAACUACUAUGUUGUGAGCAGCCCAAUGGAGAGGCCCACAAGACAACGAACUGAAGCCUCCAGCAACAACCCUGUGAGGCUGGAACUGCCCAUAAAGGCUGGCACCCCAGCAGCCACCUUGAGAAAUGCAGUGAUGAUGCUGAGUGGCAAGGCAGAAGGCACAGGGUCCCUGCACCUGAGGAUUGCUGCUCCAAACCUGGGCCACCAGCCUGAAGAUCCCGCCAGGGAGAAAUAAAGCUCUGUUUUGCUGAAGCCACUGCUAUUUUGGGGGUCUCAUCUCUUCCAGCUGAUUCUAACCUGAAAUUGAACCUUAAUUCAAUCUGGCUGAUCCAUGAACAACCAUCACGCCUUGUGCUCUGUGUCAGAUAGGUUUCUUAAGGGAGAAUGUCACUUACUGACAGUGAUUUGUCAACACCAAAGAGGAAAAAAUAUCAGAGAAAGGUAAGAGGGAGAACAAUAGAGAGAGAAAGAGAGACAGAGACAGAGGGGGAGAGAGAGAGAGAGAGAGAGAGAGAGAGAGAGAGAGAGAGCAGACUUGGUUUAAUUUCCUCUUUUCCCUUAUUACUUUCUGACAUUUUCUGACCUUAAUACCUUUGAAACUUAGCACUUCCCUCAGAAGCCUCCACUGUAAACAAAGCCCCAAGAUUUCCCUAUAAUUUUCCCCUCCCCAUUGGCCCAUCAGUCCCCAUGGGCUUCUGCUUACCAGGAUGCCCAACUAUUCCCCUGCAAACAUCCCCCUGCCCAGUGGGCCCUAACACUCACUAGUAGCAUUGCCUUUCCCCCUCUGUUCUGCCCUCCUCCAGAGGCUCCCCAUUCUCUGGAUCUAAUGUUGUCCCAGAAGUUUACCCCUCCCUGUCCCACCCAGGCGACCUCAAAUUCUCCUAGUGGCUUCCAAUGACCCAGUUGUGCCCAGAAGCUUCUCCCUAACAGCUUAGGCUGAGGACCUGCUCUGUGCAAAGGCCUGAGAGGGAGGUGGAGAGAAGCCAGGCAGAGGCCAGAUAUAUUAGCAGUUUUCCUAGAACAGUUGCUAAAAUAGAGCAGACAGGGGCUAUGGGAGUUGAUCAAUAGAUAUUCAUUGAACAUCUACUUUGUGCUGCGAAUGAUUUCAGUCAUGAGGGACAUAGCAGACCAUAAAACAGAACAGGGGAAGCCUUCUUUAGAAGUGGUCCUGGUAUAUUUCUGUCAAUUGACAUAUAUUCACAAAUUCACGCAUCCACUUAAUACGUAUUUAUUGAGCUCCUUCUGUAUACGAGGCACUGUUCUUGUUGCUGAAAAUACAAAACUGAACAAAACAGAAAAGCUCCUGCCCUUGGGAGCUUAUGUUCUAGUAAGGAAAUGAAAUAAACAACAAACAGCGAGUGCCUUCAGUCUUAUGUUCCCAGAAGAAGAUGCUGAGACAAGGGUUGAAGUGCAGGUAAUUUAUUAAGAAAGAGCUCCCAGGAGAUAUCCAUAAGGGCAUAGGGAAACAGGGCAAGAGAGGGGGAAGAAGCCCAGCAAAGGUGCAGCUUCCCAAAGUCCCAACCUCUGCCUGAUCCUGUGGAGAGCUCUGGGGUAUAAAUUACAUCUCAGGGUCUGUCUGUCUUUGAAGCAGGGGUGUCAGGCUUUUAUACUCCCACAUCCAUUGGCUACAGGCUGGAGGGGUGAGGGGGAGUAAAUUUUGGGUACUUUUUCUCCUCUCUGCAUGCCAUGGGGACAAAGCAGCUGCAGAGGUUCAUGGGCCAGCACAGGAAGGAAGUUCCAGGUGUGAACCUUUUAGAAGUAAAAUACGUAGGGCCAGGUGUGGUGGCUCACGGCUGUAACCCAGCAUUUUGGGAGGCCGAGGGUGGUGGAUCACCUGAGGUCAGGAAUUCAAGACCAGCCUGGCCAACAUAGUGAAACUCCAUCUCUACUAAAAAUAUAAAAAUUAACCAGGUGUUGUGGUGCAUGCCUAUAAUCCCAGCUACUUGGGAGGCUGAGGCAGGAGAAUAACUUGAACCCGGAAGGCAGAGGUUGUAGCGAACUGAGAUCAUUCCACUGCACUCCAGCCUGGGCAACAAGAGAGAAACUCUGUCCCAAAAAAGGAGAAGGAGAAGGAGAAAGAGAAGGAGGAGUAGGGGAAAAUGUGUGUAGAGGCUGGGGGUGAGCACACAGAAUAAGUAAAAGGGACCUGAGGGAUGCAUCCAUGCAAUAGAUUAUCAUAAUAUGAUGACAGGUGUGAGAAGCAUUGAGGAUUUCACCACUCCUGACCCCUCCUCCAUGCACAGGGGCAUCCGGAGGAUCUCCAUGUCUCUAUUCCCCUUACCUUGCUCUGCCCCAAGGGAGGUGACUUGGCUGAUUGAUAAGGAUUCUAGGAGGAAUAAACUGAAUGUGAGCAGCUCUGUCCUGUCCUCAUUCCUUGUCUUAUUUUGGUCUCCUUAAAGACCUAGGGUACAGAAGGAAGGGCAGUGACUGGGGGAUUCCUUAGGAAACCAGCAUUCUGAAAAAUAAUG
rnacentral:lncRNA from 1 species